GACGAACGCUGGCGGCGUGCUUAACACAUGCAAGUCGAACGAUGAAGCACCAGCUUGCUGGUGUGGAUUAGUGGCGAACGGGUGAGUAACACGUGAGUAACCUGCCCCUCACUCUGGGAUAAGCCUGGGAAACUGGGUCUAAUACUGGAUACGACCGAUCUCCGCAUGGAGUGUUGGUGGAAAGUUUUUGUGGUGGGGGAUGGACUCGCGGCCUAUCAGCUUGUUGGUGGGGUAAUGGCCUACCAAGGCGACGACGGGUAGCCGGUCUGAGAGGGCGACCGGCCACACUGGGACUGAGACACGGCCCAGACUCCUACGGGAGGCAGCAGUGGGGAAUAUUGCACAAUGGGCGAAAGCCUGAUGCAGCGACGCCGCGUGAGGGAUGACGGCCUUCGGGUUGUAAACCUCUUUCACCAGGGACGAAGCUAACGUGACGGUACCUGGAGAAGAAGCACCGGCUAACUACGUG
rnacentral:rRNA from 1 species